AACUGAGACAACCACAUCAAGAUACAGUCUGUCAUAGGAUUCCCUGAAGCACAGAAUGAGAAGGAGACUGAGCAAACACGACCCGGGAAGGCACCAGUUGAACCAAGACAACUCUGCAAGACAAAAACAUGCACUUAAUGCUAAUACUGCCUUAAUCUUCAAAAAUCAUCCAAAAGAUUCUAUGCUGCUGCUUUAGAUUAAUCCAUAAUUCAUAUGGCCAAAAGAGCAAUUUAUGCUCAGGAAUGGAAAUCAGAAAACCAACCGGCCCUUUCUCCACUAUCUUCUCACAAGCUCAUCAUAGAUGAACUGGCUUCGAAGCAGAAAAGCUGAUGACAUCAAGAAGGAACUCUCCCCGAGCAAUGUGCCUGGCAGAGAUGUCUGCUUCUAAGGCUUGUACACUGCCUUCUCUCCACCUCCUUAGGUCCAAGGCGAACUCCUCCACGUGGGUUGAGGACCCUAAUCCUUCCUUUUGUGAGGGCCUCCCUCUUCU